UACGUAGGGUGCGAGCGUUAAUCGGAAUUACUGGGCGUAAAGCGUGCGCAGGCGGUUUUGUAAGCCAGAUGUGAAAUCCCCCGGGCUUAACCUGGGAAUGGCAUUUGGGACUGCAAGGCUCGAGUGCGGCAGAGGAGACUGGAAUUCCUGGUGUAGCGGUGAAAUGCGCAGAUAUCAGGAGGAACACCGGUGGCGAAGGCGGGAUCUCUGGGCCAUUACUGACGCUGAGGAGCGAAAGCGUGGGGAGCGAACAGGA
rnacentral:rRNA from 1 species